AUUGAACGCUGGCGGCAGGCCUAACACAUGCAAGUCGGACGGUAGCACAGAGGAGCUUGCUCCUCGGGUGACGAGUGGCGGACGGGUGAGUAAUGUCUGGGGAUCUGCCCGAUAGAGGGGGAUAACCACUGGAAACGGUGGCUAAUACCGCAUAACGUCGCAAGACCAAAGAGGGGGACCUUCGGGCCUCUCACUAUCGGAUGAACCCAGAUGGGAUUAGCUAGUAGGCGGGGUAAUGGCCCACCUAGGCGACGAUCCCUAGCUGGUCUGGAAGGAUGACCAGCCACACUGGAACUGAGACACGGUCCAGACUCCUACGGGAGGCAGCAGUGGGGAAUAUUGCACAAUGGGCGCAAGCCUGAUGCAGCCAUGCGGCGUGUAUGAAGAAGGCCUUCGGGUUGUAAAGUACUUUCAGCGGGGAGGAAGGCGGUGAGGUUAAUAACCUCACCGAUUGACGUUACCCGCAGAAGAAGCACCGGCUAACUCCGUGCCAGCAGCCGCCGUAA
rnacentral:rRNA from 1 species